UAGUAAAUGCUGUGAUCACCAUACAGCCUUUCAUUGUCCUUCUCAAUUGUCGAAACACAGUUGUGCAGAAUCUGGUGUUGAUCCCGGUCCACAUCGAACCAAGUAACGCAGAGGCGGAGCUGAAUGCUCUUCAUGAUGAGGUUAAAGAUGUGAGGGAAAUGUGGAACAAGGAUGCACUUGAGAGUGAGUCAGAGGCAGAAUACAGGGA